ACAUGACUACAUGCAUGCUUUAAGCAACUCCAACACUGUCGUACGGGUUGCCCAUGAGUCGUACAUGUUAUGUUGAGAUACAUUGAGAGCUCAUAAACCUACACCUUGGUGUUAGUGCUCCCGUUCGUGGCCAGGGCACAGUCUUUCACGUGAUGUUCACCUCAUGCACCUUACGCUCACCUUCGAUCCAAGGUAGGUGCACAGUCUUGUCGUACAGACCACUAUAGGUGGUUCCGACUCGUAGGUGACCUGCGAUUAUUCGCACAGUCUUCACGUGAUCGUAGCACUUAAGCGUAUUUAUUUACACCCAGUCCUGUUGUACAGACCACUUUAGGUGGUUCCAACUUGUGUGUAGGUAUACUUAUUGAGCUAUGGAUAAGUCAUACAGGUCACUAGAAGUGACUUCGACUUAUGAGCUAGCAUAUGUGAUAAGUUAUGUGAUGAGCUAGUAUAUGCGAUGAAAUAAAUGAUGAGCUAGCAUAUGUGAUAAGAUAUGUGAUGAGCUAGCAAAUGUGAUAUGUGAUGAGCUAGCAUAUGCGAUAAGAUAUGUGAUGAGCUAGCAUAUGCGAUAAGAUAUGUGAUGUGCUAGCAUAUGUAAUAAAAUAUGUGAUGAGCUAGCAUAUGUGAUGAAAUAGCAUAUGCGAUGAAAAAUGUGAUGAGCUAGCAUAUGCGAUGAAAUAUGUGAUGAGCUAGCAUAUGUGAUUAAAUAUGUGAUGAGCUAGCAUAUGUGAUGAAAUAUGGGUAAGUCGUACAGGUCACUAUAGGUGACUCUAACUUAUGAGUUAAUAUCAGCCGUACAAGUCACCAUAGGUGACUCCGACUUGCGUGCUAAUAUGGGUUAUUAAUCACAUGAUUAUUGAUAUUGCUGAUGAGAUGUUGUGUUGUGGUAUAUUUAUGGUUUUACUGUUGAUGUACUUCUGAAUUCAAAUUGAUACAUGGUAUGAUUUUUCUGAAAACUAUCCAGGUGUUGUAGCGAGGGAUUAUAAUGUUUUAUAUGAUUUCUAUUCAAAUUUUAUUUCUAGGACCACUCAUCCUUUUUUGUUUUCACCCUCUAGGUUUUAUUAGCUGAGCUUUCUUAUCGUCGAAGAUUUAUGGCGAUUCUUAGUAUUGGAGAUUCUUUCGAGGGUACGAUUCUUAAUCCACUCUACUGUACUUACUUAUGCUCUAACGUCACGUGUGAAGUAUGUUUGUACCAUAUUUAAGGCGUUCAUAUUUAGACCUUGUAUAAAUACUCGGGGGACUCGAAUGUAAUUAUGUAAUAAAUGAAGGAGGCAAAUAUGUAAUAAGUGAGGAGCCCUUAUUAUAUAAAAGGACUCAUCACUCUCAUCACUCUCCUUAUUAGGGGGGGUCAAGAUUUAGGCCAUGGGAAGAGAGAAAAUAGGCUAGAGAGCACACUGCCUGUAGCCUUUUUGUAUAUUCACCAUUCAGAGUGAAACAAUAUCAACAUUAGUGUGGACGUAGCCCAAACAUUGGGGUGAACCACGAUACAUCUUGUGUUCUUUACUUUCUUGCAGAUUCACGAUCGGAUUUACGUUGUUCCAAGACCCUUCCGGUUUUGUGCAUCAACAUUUGGCGCCGUCUGUGGGAACCGACACGAAAAGCUAUGUCGGUUCUCUUUUAUUUUUUCAUCUCACCACCGUGAGACCUCACAAUAUCCACCGUGAAUCUGCAGAAACCCAACACCCAAAACUUGGAUUUUCCUUUGGAUCUGAGCAAAUCCCUCAUUCCUCGAGUACAUCAUGUCCCUCUUAUUUUGUGUAAUUCCAGUUACAUGAACUUCCUCUCUCCCUCUCUCCCUCUUUAACCCCGAAAGCUCCAAACUUUCUCUCUCUAAUAUCUAACCCCUGAAAUAUUGU
rnacentral:lncRNA from 1 species